CCUACGGGGGGCAGCAGUGGGGAAUAUUGCACAAUGGGCGCAAGCCUGAUGCAGCCAUGCCGCGUGUGUGAAGAAGGCCUUCGGGUUGUAAAGCACUUUCAGCGGGGAGGAAGGCGGUGAGGUUAAUAACCUCAUCGAUUGACGUUACCCGCAGAAGAAGCACCGGCUAACUCCGUGCCAGCAGCCGCGGUAAUACGGAGGGUGCAAGCGUUAAUCGGAAUUACUGGGCGUAAAGCGCACGCAGGCGGUCUGUCAAGUCGGAUGUGAAAUCCCCGGGCUCAACCUGGGAACUGCAUUCGAAACUGGCAGGCUAGAGUCUUGUAGAGGGGGGUAGAAUUCCAGGUGUAGCGGUGAAAUGCGUAGAGAUCUGGAGGAAUACCGGUGGCGAAGGCGGCCCCCAGGACAAAGACUGACGCUCAGGUGCGAAAGCGUGGGGAGCAAACAGGAUUAGAUACCCGGGUAGUC
rnacentral:rRNA from 1 species